rnacentral:misc_RNA from 1 species
CCAGUGAAAGAGCCACUGAGAAAGACACUCCUCCCUCCGUACGGCCACACAAAGCGCAUAGGAACCACUACAGUAUCUUCAUGGCCGGUAGCUGUACUAGAACCAAACAUCGCCCUCCCAAAAACAGUUUAUGUAUAUAUAUGUGCGACAAUCAAUACCAAUCCACAAAAUGCCAAGUAUGCAAAAUCCCUCAACUUGCCAAAAACAAAGCCUUCAAAUCAACUGAUUGUUAUUAUUUGCAUUUCUCAACCUCUUCAACAAUAAUAAUUAGCAAAAUAAUAAAACAAUUAAUAGGGAUCCUC